rnacentral:rRNA from 1 species
GACAGCCAGGAUGUUGGCUUAGAAGCAGCCAUCAUUUAAAGAAAGCGUAAUAGCUCACUGGUCGAGUCGGCCUGCGCGGAAGAUGUAACGGGGCUAAACCAUGCACCGAAGCUGCGGCAGCGACACUGUGUGUUGUUGGGUAGGGGAGCGUUCUGUAAGCCUGCGAAGGUGGCCUGUGAGGGUUGCUGGAGGUAUCAGAAGUGCGAAUGCUGACAUAAGUAACGAUAAAGCGGGUGAAAAGCCCGCUCGCCGGAAGACCAA